CCUACGGGGGGCAGCAGUAGGGAAUAUUGCUCAAUGGGGGAAACCCUGAAGCAGCAACGCCGCGUGGAGGAUGAAGGUUUUCGGAUUGUAAACUCCUUUUGUUAGAGAAGAUAAUGACGGUAUCUAACGAAUAAGCACCGGCUAACUCCGUGCCAGCAGCCGCGGUAAUACGGAGGGUGCAAGCGUUACUCGGAAUCACUGGGCGUAAAGAGCGCGUAGGCGGGAUAGCAAGUCAGAUGUGAAAUCCUAUGGCUUAACCAUAGAAUUGCAUUUGAAACUGUUAUUCUAGAGUAUGGGAGAGGUAGGUGGAAUUCUUGGUGUAGGGGUAAAAUGCGUAGAGAUCAAGAGGAAUACUCAUGGCGAAGGCGACCUGCUAGAACAUAACUGACGCUGAUGCGCGAAAGCGUGGGGAGCAAACAGGAUUAGAUACCCUUGUAGUC
rnacentral:rRNA from 1 species